rnacentral:lncRNA from 1 species
GUUCCGCACCGUCCCUGCUCCUUCUCUUUCUCGUUCCCCAUCCCCAUCGCUAUCAAAUCCGGCGCACCGCCGGCUCCCUCCUCCCCCAUGGCCAUGCACCGCUGGGUCGCGAUUGUUUUUCGCCCAAGCCCUGCUGCCUCUGUCCCCAGACCCGCCAUCGAGGUAAGAUCAGCGGCAAAGCCCAGACACACACCUCCCGCAAGCACCCCGGUGGUCAAGAGCUGCACCUCAUCUUCCCCGUCUUCCUCAAAGGUAGCAGCAAUUUGUUUCCUUGUUUUUUCUUGACCAAGAUUUGCAUCUGCUUUCGUGUGUGAUAGUGGCUUUUAUGUGAUGGAUUUUUCAUCCAGCACACUUCGGAAGAUGGAUGAAGAUGGAUUGAUCUUAUUUUGUUUCCUCUCCUGCAGUUUUUAGCCAAUGAUUGCUCUUGUUUAGCCCCUCUCCAUCAACAAGAAAACAGGGAAGAUCUUGAUGUACUUUUGUAAUUCAUAGCUGAAAUUUGCUGUAACAAGGACCUUUCUGAUGGCUAUCUCUGAAUUCUCUGCCUACUGUUAUUAUUAUGGCCUCAGUUUUAUACAUGAAACAAAAUAAUUGGGUGAAGAACUAUUUGGGAUAUUUUCUGAAGAACAAUCUAACAAUACAAGAAUAUUUGCUGAAGAAUUUUUUCAAAAAUUCCAAAGGACUUUAUAGAAACUACGAAGAACAUUGUAAGUAACGAAGAAACAUUCUAACAGGACUUUGCUAACAUGCUGUCCGAACUUUGCCAUAAAAAUUAAAAGAACUUUUGAAAACAUAUUGCCAUGACUAAUUAUUUCUUUCGAUUUUGUAAAGUUCUUUGGAAUUUCGAGUAGAGUUCGCCAAAACUACUUUGAUACAAUCCAUUAAUUAAUUUCAUUAGUUACUUCUGAGAAUAAUUUCGGUGACAAACCAAAAUUAGUUAAUACAUGUUUAAUCAUUGAUUAACCAUGUACUUAAAUGGUGCAUUAUCCCACUGAGGCACUUAUGUCUCUCGCGUGGAUGAAGAGAUUGGUCCAACGUAGGGUGAAAUCAGUUGGAAUACGGCUGACUAUAUACACAGGUGAAAUCCGUGACAUGAUGAAAUACCAUGCAUGGCUGACACAGGUACGGGCCAUGUUGAUUUGACAACAAGCAGGAUCAGUGGUGUGGAUACGCGUUGUGCGCACAACUAGUUAGACAAAAUCCAGGUCCGUCCAUAUGUCCCUUGAGACGAGCACCACUGGAGAAAUCCUAGCAUCUUCGCACGGAGACUGCGUUGGUCCACCGCGAGUGAGGAAGUCAGCGUAAGUGUCAUCUCGGCCCUAAGAAGGAACAAGAAACUUUGACAGAGGAAGUUUAUCACCCAGUUGAAUAACCCUUGCUGGACCGGCUCAUGUACACGAUCUCAACUCGAACUCAUUUUCCCAUUGCAUCCCAUGCCUAACACUGAUUUCGUCGUCAUAGACAAGCUAGCACCACUUCUCUCUACCCACCUGGUAGCAGCAAGCAAGCUUACAUUUCCACGCUGAAUUUUUGAGUGUUC